rnacentral:rRNA from 1 species
UACAUGGGGUGCAAACGUUGCUCGGAAUCAUUGGGCGUAAAGCGCACGUAGGCGGUUACUUAAGUCGGAUGUGAAAGCCCUCGGCUCAACUGAGGAAGUGCACCCGAAACUGAGUAGCUAGAGUACGAAAGAGGGUCGCGGAAUUCCCGGUGUAGAGGUGAAAUUCGUAGAUAUCGAGAGGAACACCUGCGGCGAAGGCGGGUUGCUGGGCUGAUACUGACGCUGAGGCGCGAAAGCCAGGGGAGCGAACGGG